rnacentral:ncRNA from 1 species
AGGAUUUGAGGGCAGAACGGGCAUCUGCCGCCUAGAUGGAGAUGCAGGAGUGUCGCCCUGCCAAACCUU